CAGAGGGGAUGAAAGUGAAAGUGCUUCUGAACAGAGAAAAUCUGCAUGCGUUUCUUCUGCAGCCGCCCUAUACAAGGCUAAACUUUUUGAAUGAGAUUGCAUUUGUAGUUGUAUUUGAUGUUUUCAAUGUGUUUUGUCUUCAAUCUGCUGGAUCAGCCCACCAAGCGUCAAGGAGGAAGACAGGUUAAACUGACCUGUCUAAGAAGACCUAUCUCAGAGGAAUCAAACGAAGAGUGGAAAAAGAGGAGAAAAUGGAGGAGAGGGAAAAAAUCUUAGAAGAAAGAGAAAAGCUUCUGAAUCAGAAAGAAAUUCAUUUACAAGAAAGAGAAAAACAUCUGGAUGGGAGAGAGACUCGUUUAUGAGAGAGAGAGCAGCGUUUGGAUAGGGAGAGAGACCCUGUUUGGAAGAAAGAGUAAAGCACCUGGAUGGGAGAGAGCGACAAAGAGACCCAAGAGAGCAUUUGUGGGAAAGGCUACGCGGAAGAGAAAUGGAUCUGAAUUUGAGAGAAAGAGACCUGGAAAUGAGACUUAGAGAUCGAAAACUAAUGGAAAGUAGUGUGAUAGGAAAACAAUCGCCGACAGAAGGAAAACCCACUGAACACAAGUCUGACACUUUUCCCCCAGAAGAAAGUUUUCCAUUUACCUUCCCCAGCAUGAAAAGAAGAGGAAGCACUGAUCAUCCCCCAGCCUUUGGAGAAGAAAAAAGCCCACCGAAUCCUGAGAAACCUGCGACUGAACCUGAAACUGCUGCCCAGUGUGGAAGUUCAGUCUAGAGAUACUGGAGAUGACACCAGGAAUCAUGUUGGAAGCUUUUAACACAACUGUAGUUUUUCCUUUUUCCACAUCAUUUUUUUAUUUACAUUUUUUUUUAUUUAAUCUAGCAGAAACUAAAUAUUAGUCCCACGUAACGAGUCUCAAAAGAUUACAAAGGAACACAUGCACCCUUUAGUUCUGCUGGACACCACCAUCCCAGCAAAUUUAAUAAUACAUUUUUGAAAAUUACCCUUAAAAAAUAAAAAAGAAAGACCAUUUCAGAUUCAGCCUUUGACAAACUGAGCUACAACAGCUUUGCUAUCAGACAAACAAGUUGGCAUAUAUGGAUUUUGGUUCCACAAAUGUCGACUUUUUGCCCCGUUUUGUCAGCCUAUGUGUAGGAUCAGUGGUUGUGAUUAUGUUUGUGUGUGGUUUUGGAUGCAACUUUGAGAAAUCAGUGUGUGAGAUCUGAUCAAACUAAGCAACUAAGAUUUCAGGUGUCCGAAAUUCAUCUGAUCGUCCAGCUGCUCAGUUGGAGCCUGUUUGGGAAGUUAAUUGCUUCCCUUCUCACACUGCACUUCAGGCAACUACCAAUGAAGCUGAAAUGCAGCCCCUUUAUGAAAUUCAGUCAGUUAUGACCAAAUUGGGCUGAAAAUCACAGUGUCUGCCUGAUGUAAGAUUACGUAACAUAUAAUGUGUGGACUAAGCUCUUACCAAUACGAACACAGCUGCCCAGUCUAAUAGAUUUCCAAGCCUGUAAUUUGAUUAUAUUAGUCCUACAUCCAGCCUAUAGGGACACAAACAGAAUUCACCAUUUUAUUAUUUUCUAACCUGUUUAGAAACAUU